rnacentral:lncRNA from 1 species
CUUACAUUUUUAAAAAUACUAAAUUAUUCAUGCUUGUAGAUUUUUCAGUCUAUAAAUUAAACGAUGUGUAAUUAGAAUAAUAAUAGUCUUUUAGAGUUGAGUAGUUGGUUGGUUAAAUAAUAUGAUUUAACGAAUAAAAAUAAUUAAAAAAAUAAAUGUAAUGAUGAAAAAUUUAUGAACAUUAAGUGCUUGAUAUACAUAUACAGAGUCUGUCUGGAAAGCAUUUAGUGCUAUUGAGUUUUCUACCGUUAGAUUUAAUCUUUUGAUUAUUUUUAUCCGUUAGAUUAUAUUAUUCAACCAACCACCACUCAACCUUAGAGGUCCACAUUAUCCUAACUGUAUAUUUCUCAAUCCAAAGACUAAAAAACUAAUAGCACCAAUAACUUGGUUCUAUUAAUAGUAGCCAGUCUAGUUCUAUAUAUAUAUAUAUAUAUAUAUAUAUAUAUAUAUAUAUAAUUGAGUUAGAAUACUCUCAAAAGCACCAAGGAGAUGGUGCUUUUGAGUUUUUAACCAUUAGAUGGAGAGAUGUAGGGUUGAGAUGAUGGUAAUAGGUGAUGGUAGGUGGAAUAGUGUUUGAUCCAAAAAAUAUUAGUAAUUAAGGAGUAGAUUCAAAGACUAGAAACUUAAAAGCACUAAGAGAUUGGUGUUUCUAAAAAUAUUCUAGCUUAAUUAUAUACAUAUAUAUAUUUGAAUUAUAUCGUGUCAGAACACGUGCAAGCGAAUUUCAGAUCUUGUUCAGAUAAUUAAAUUUUAAACUAAAAAAUUUAACAUAUAUUUAAAUUAUUUAUUAAAUAAAUAAU